UACGUAGGGACCAAGCGUUGUUCGGAUUUACUGGGCGUAAAGGGCGCGUAGGCGGCAAUUCAAGUCAUCUGUGAAAUCUCCGGGCUUAACUCGGAACGGUCAGAUGAUACUGCUUUGCUAGAGUGCAGAAGGGGCAAUCGGAAUUCUUGGUGUAGCGGUGAAAUGCGUAGAUAUCAAGAGGAACACCUGAGGUGAAGACGGGUUGCUGGGCGUGACACGUGACGCUGGAGGCGCGAAAGCCAGGGGAGCAAACGGG
rnacentral:rRNA from 1 species